GAUGAACGCUGGCGGCGUGCCUAAUACAUGCAAGUCGAGCGAACGGACGAGAAGCUUGCUUCUCUGAUGUUAGCGGCGGACGGGUGAGUAACACGUGGAUAACCUACCUAUAAGACUGGGAUAACUUCGGGAAACCGGAGCUAAUACCGGAUAAUAUUUUGAACCGCAUGGUUCAAUAGUGAAAGACGGUCUUGCUGUCACUUAUAGAUGGAUCCGCGCUGCAUUAGCUAGUUGGUAAGGUAACGGCUUACCAAGGCAACGAUGCAUAGCCGACCUGAGAGGUGGAUCGGCCCACCGGGACCUGAGACCCGGUCCAGACUCCACGGGGAGGCAGCAGUAGGGAACCUGCGGAAAUGGGCGAAAGCCUGCGGGAGAAAGGCCGCGUGAGUGAUGAAGGCCUUCGGAUCGUAAACCGCUGUAAUAAGGGAAGAACAUAUGUGUAAGUACCAGUGAAGACCUGGAGGGAACCAAAUAAGAAAGCACGGGCAAACUCCGG
rnacentral:rRNA from 1 species